rnacentral:rRNA from 1 species
CCCGCAACGAGCGCAACCCCGCCGUUAGUGCCAGCGGUUCGGCCGGGCACUCUAACGGGACUGCCCGCGAAAGCGGGAGGAAGGAGGGGACGACGUCUGGUCAGCAUGGCCCUUACGGCCUGGGCGACACACGUGCUACAAUGCCCACUACAAAGCGAUGCCACCCGGCAACGGGGAGCUAAUCGCAAAAAGGUGGGCCCAGUUCGGAUUGGGGUCUGCAACCCGACCCAUGAAGCCGGAAUCGCUAGUAAUCGCGGAUCAGCCAUGCCGCGGUGAAUACGUUCCCGGGCCUU